UAGGGCGGCUAUUGCGGCAGGGCUCACCUGUUCCCAUUCCGAACACAGAAGUUAAGCCUGCCAGCGCCGAUGGUACUGCUAACGCGGAAGAGUAGGUCGCCGCCGGUC
rnacentral:rRNA from 1 species